CCUGGUAUACUUAGUACGGCGAGUGAGCGGUAAAAGCUCAAAUUUGAAAUCUGGUACUUUCAGUGCCCGAGUUGUAAUUUGUAGAAUUUGUCUUUGAUUAGGUCCUUGUCUAUGUUCCUUGGAACAGGACGUCAUAGAGGGUGAGAAUCCCGUUUGGCGAGGAUACCUUUUCUCUGUAAGACUUUUUCGAAGAGUCGAGUUGUUUGGGAAUGCAGCUCAAAGUGGGUGGUAAAUUCCAUCUAAAGCUAAAUAUUGGCGAGAGACCGAUAGCGAACAAGUACAGUGAUGGAAAGAUGAAAAGAACUUUGAAAAGAGAGUGAAAAAGUACGUGAAAUUGUUGAAAGGGAAGGGCAUUUGAUCAGACAUGGUGUUUUUUGCAUGCACUCGCCUCUCGUGGGCUUGGGCCUCUCAAAAAUUUCACUGGGCCAACAUCAAUUCUGGCAGCAGGAUAAAUCAUUAAGAAUGUAGCUACUUCGGUAGUGUUAUAGCUUUUUGGAAUACUGUUAGCCGGGAUUGAGGACUGCGCUUCGGCAAGGAUGUUGGCAUAAUGGUUAAAUGCCGCCCGUCUUGACCC
rnacentral:rRNA from 1 species